GACGAACGCUGGCGGCGUGCCUAAUACAUGCAAGUCGAACGCUUCUUUUUCCACCGGAGCUUGCUCCACCGGAAAAAGAAGAGUGGCGAACGGGUGAGUAACACGUGGGUAACCUGCCCAUCAGAAGGGGAUAACACUUGGAAACAGGUGCUAAUACCGUAUAACAAUCAAAACCGCAUGGUGGGGGUUGGAAAGAUUUUUUGGAUGGGGAUGGGCUCACGGCCUAUCAGCUUGUUGGCGGGGUGAUGGCCUACCAAGGCGUCGACGGGUAGCCGGCCUGAGAGGGUGACCGGCCACAUUGGGACUGAGAUACGGCCCAG
rnacentral:rRNA from 1 species